rnacentral:rRNA from 1 species
GAUGAACGCUGGCGGCGUGCUUAACACAUGCCAGUCGAACGGAAAGGCCCAAGCUUGCUUGGGUACUCGAGUGGCGAACGGGUGAGUAACACGUGGGUGAUCUGCCCUGCACUUCGGGAUAAGCCUGGGAAACUGGGUCUAAUACCGGAUAGGACCACUUCUUGGAUGUUGUGGUGGAAAGUUUUUUCGGUGUGGGAUGAGCUCGCGGCCUAUCAGCUUGUUGGUGGGGUAAUGGCCUACCAAGGCGUCGACGGGUAGCCGGCCUGCGAGGGUGUACGGCCACAUUGGGACUGAGAUACGGCCCAGACUCCUACGGGAGGCAGCAGUGGGGAAUAUUGCACAAUGGGCGCAAGCCUGAUGCAGCGACGCCGCGUGGGUGAUGACGGCCUUCGGGUUGUAAACUCCUUUCGCUAGGGACGAAGCGUUUUGUGACGGUACCUGGAGAAGAAGCACCGGCUAACUACGUG